rnacentral:tRNA from 1 species
GGGCCCAUAGCUCAGCUGGCUAGAGCGCACGGCUGAUAACCGUGAGGUCAAAGGUUCAAGUCCUUUUGGGCCCACCA